rnacentral:rRNA from 1 species
UACGAAGGGGACUAGCGUUGUUCGGAAUCACUGGGCGUAAAGCGCACGUAGGCGGAUUUGUAAGUCAGGGGUGAAAUCCCGGAGCUCAACUCCGGAACUGCCUUUGAUACUGGUCGUCUAGAGAUCGGAAGAGGUGAGUGGAAUUCCCAGUGUAGAGGUGAAAUUCGUAGAUAUUGGGAAGAACACCAGUGGCGAAGGCGGCUCACUGGUCCGAUACUGACGCUGAGGUGCGAAAGCGUGGGGAGCAAACAGG